rnacentral:rRNA from 1 species
AACACAUGCAAGUCGAACGCGAAAGGGACUUCGGUCCUGAGUAAAGUGGCGCACGGGUGAGUAACGCGUAGAUAACCUGUCUUCAUGUCUGGAAUAAUACGCCGAAAGGGGUACUAAUACCGGAUAUUCUUGCUUUUCAUAAGUUAUGCAAGCAAAGGUGGCCUCUGCAUAUGCUACUGCAUGAAGAGGGGUCUGCGUACCAUUAGCUAGUAGGUGGGGUAAUGGCCUACCUAGGCGACGAUGGUUAGCGGGUCUGAGAGGAUGAUCCGCCACACUGGCACUGGAACACGGGCCAGACUCCUACGGGAGGCAGCAGUGAGGAAUAUUGCGCAAUGGGGGAAACCCUGACGCAGCGACGCCGCGUGAGUGAAGGAAGGCCUUCGGGUCGUAAAGCUCUGUCAAGAGGAAAGAAGUGUACAAUGGCUAAUACCUGUUGUAUUUGACGGUACCUCUAAAGGAAGCACCGGCUAACUCCGUGCCAGCCGCAGC